rnacentral:lncRNA from 1 species
CUACAGUACUACAGUACUACACCUGCUACAGUAUUACAGUACUACAGUACUACACCUGCUGCAGUACUACAGUACACUUGUGAAAAACUUUUCAAAAUGACUCCAGUUGUCCAUCAUUACUGUAAAUAAAAACACAGCAUCUUGUUUACAUUCUUUAUUGAAACCACAAUGUCACAAAUCAUUUGCAUCUACCUUUACAAUUACUUUUAGAGUUUGGGAUUUACAAAUGUGUGCUUUUCAUGUCAUUUUCCGUUAGGGCAAAUCGGGUCUGUGAUAUAAUUAUGUCUUUUAUAUAACUAUCAUCCAAAUGUUUAAAGUGAGCGUGGGUGACGGAGAGAAACAAAAUGGUGCUCCUUGGGAUUCAAAAGCAUAAUCAGUGCUCUAACUUCAUUUGAGGUAAUAAUUUAGCUGUUGGAACACCAACUAAUAGAAUUCUGCUUAAGAGGUUGGAGACUGAUAACUUCUAAGAGCUGAAGAAUCUAGAAUCCUUUUCUUCAGAAGGGGUUUCACCAUAUCAGUUUUUAGUGCAGUGGGGAAAGUUCCCAUAAACAGGGAGUGAUUAACAAUAGCUUGCACUUCUUCAGAUAUGCCAUUAAAAACUGUUUUGAAGAAGGUGGUGGGGAUAGGAUGGAGAAGGCAGGUGGAAGGUCAAGUUGUGAUGUCACUUUCCUGACCAUGUCUGUGUCAACCAGGGAAAAUAAAUCCAUAGUGCCUUUGUGUGGUAGGCUAGUGCACAUAUCAUCAGACUUCUCAUCAGGUCUUGACUGAUACCCAGUCUAAUGUUGGAUAUCUUAUCUCUGAAAUAUGCUGUAAACUCAUCACAUUUACAUGUAGAGGAAAGUUCACAUAGGUUUGCGGAGGUAGGAUUUAUCAGGCCAUCAAUGGUGGAGAAGAGCACUCUCUAAUUAUUCUGAUUAUUGGUGAUCAAGUUAGUAAAAUGAGCCCAUCUGGCAUUUCUAAUGGCCUUGUAAUAUAUGAUGCUCUCUCAUUUCUAAUGGCCUUGUAAUAUAUGAUGCUCUCUCAUUUCUAAUGGCCUUGUUAUAUAUGAUGCUCUCUCAUUUCUAAUGGCCUUGUUAUAUAUGAUGCUCUCUCAUUUCUAAUGGCCUUGUUAUAUAUGAUGCUCUCUCAUUUCUAAUGGCCUUGUAAUAUAUGAUGCUCUCUCAUUUCUAAUGGCCUUGUUAUAUAUGAUGCUCUCUCA